CGGCGGACGGGUGAGUAACACGUGGAUAACCUACCUAUAAGACUGGGAUAACUUCGGGAAACCGGAGCUAAUACCGGAUAAUAUAUUGAACCGCAUGGUUCAAUAGUGAAAGACGGUUUUGCUGUCACUUAUAGAUGGAUCCGCGCCCCAUUAGCUAGUUGGUAAGGUAACGGCUUACCAAGGCAACGAUGCGUAGCCGACCUGAGAGGGUGAUCGGCCACACUGGAACUGAGACACGGUCCAG
rnacentral:rRNA from 1 species